CCUACGGGAGGCAGCAGUAGGGAAUCUUCCACAAUGGGCGAAAGCCUGAUGGAGCAACGCCGCGUGGGUGAAGAAGGUCGUCGGAUCGUAAAACCCUGUUGUUAGAGAAGAAAGGGCGUGAGAGUAACUGUUCACGUUUCGACGGUAUCUAACCAGAAAGCCACGGCUAACUACGUGCCAGCAGCCGCGGUAAGACGUAGGUGGCAAGCGUUAUCCGGAUUUAUUGGGCGUAAAGGGAACGCAGGCGGUUUUUUAAGUCUGAUGGGAAAGCCUUCGGCUUAACCGGAGUAGUGCAUGGGAAACUGGGAGACUUGAGUGCAGAAGAGGAGAGUGGAACUCCAUGUGUAGCGGUGAAAUGCGUAGAUAGAUGGAAGAACACCAGUGGCGAAAGCGGCUCUCUGGUCUGUAACUGACGCUGAGGUUCGAAAGCGUGGGUAGCAAACAGGAUUAGAUACCCGGGUAGUC
rnacentral:rRNA from 1 species